UCAUCAUGAUUUAGACAACUUACUUCGGUUUGAAAAACUAAAUACAUACACACUUAAAAUAGAUUUCGCUGUUCGGUAAUUUUAUUGACGAAAAACUUCGGUAAACAUGAAAAAUUACAGUCCGUUCGGCUAACAAAAUUAAAUUUACCGGAGUUCGGUAAAAUUUUACCGAACAAACUAUAAUUUCAAAAUGAUUUGACAGACUUCGGUAAAAUUACAGUUCGUUUUGUAAAAUCGUUUAAUCGCCGUACAUUGUAAAAUAAAUACCGAAAAAAUUACAAAACAAAUUCUGUUUUACAGUACUCCGGUAAAUCGUUGAACGGCGGUUGAACUGUCAAACUGUCAUAUUCAUUUUUGUUUAAGGCUCAAGACUCCAUCACAAUGUUUUGAAAAUUGAUGACUGUAUCACUUGUUUGUAAUAGUGAUGCAAUUGGUACCGGAAAGUGCAGCAGCGAUAAAUAAAAUGUUGUUUACAACUGGGGUGGGUGGAAAUGGGGUAGUAAAAAUAUGUCAGCUGAUGCAUAAUGUUGCCAGACUUGACGAAUUGUUUAUUUUAUAACAUAAGACAUGUUCAUGGUGUAUCAAAUAUAUGGGUAUUUAUCGGUUUAAUUUUUUUAUACACCACUUGGUAUGUAAUAGAAGCUUACGUAACAUGUUCAAAUAUUUAUUUUUGGUUUUAUUGUUCAAUCCGACAAACAGCAAUGAUUUUUUCCAAUAAAUAAAUCUGGCAACGGCGAAGAGAUGAUUAUUUUCUUGUGUAUGCACAUCUUUAUUUGCGUGUUGGCUGGCGCAAGUUUUUUUUAUGUACAGGUUAUCCGACUUCGUCAGUAGAUGGGAAUAACCAGCGCGGGGGGGAAACAUACAUUUUCAGCGCCAAACGUAAACAAACGAGCAUAAAUUCCAUACAAAAAUCCAAGAUGGCUGAGUUGGGGAUAUGACAAGUCGGAUAACCUGUACAUAAAAAAAUCUUGGGCUGGCGUAUACGUUGUAUUGUUCGGAUUGAAUGAAGUUGCAUCGCGUAGAUUUUGUACUCACCAUUUCACUUAUUGCGCUAGUGAAUUUGAGUCUUCCGCAUUUUAUUGCAUUCACAAUACGGUCGUCAAAUUUGUCUCUCACUUCGAUUUUUGCAAAACAGUUUUCAACCGUUUUUGGGCGCGAAGUGAAUUAAUUGGUAGUCAAGGUUGACGAAAAAUGUGAAACUCAGUUAGUGAAUAUGUUUUAGGAGUGAUAAAAUCAAAGAAACAAUGGGAAAAGAUCCAGUGAAAAAUCAAGUGAGUGUGUAUGUGUUAAAUCCGAACGUUCGAACGUUAGUAUGCGUUCGAUGAACAAACGAAUAUCGACCUAUAAAAGGCAGUUUUCAUCGUUUUUCCAACAAUUCCUCAGUAAUUGCUAGUUUUGAUAAGUGAAAAAUUAAUAUGGAAAUGCCAUGAAUAUAUUAUGAUAGAGGGUAAGUCCGUAAAUAGCCCCAAAAUAUUGAAUUUAGUUCAAAACUUUAUUAGUAUUAGUGCGGAUUUGAAUAAAAUCAUUGUCAUUAUCGGAUUGAUUACGGUUUAUAGAGCCUUAAUCAAAAUUUGUAUGCAGCUAGCUGCUGUUUCAAAGCUGUACGAAAAGGUUAAUAAUUUUUCAUUGAAUUCAUCGCGGAAAAACCCAAAUGUGGAAAGGAGAAAUGAUAACAGGUAUGUUACGUUCAUAAUCAAGUUAUUUGUAUUUCACAGCAUUAAUUUUAUUUCAGCUUCCUCCCUUGGCAACAAAUUACUGGGAAAUUUAGUCAUCUUGCACCGGAAUAAUUAUAAAAAUAUAUUGGAAUUGGAUUUACGUUCAUCGUUUGUAGCUAAGUAAUGCUGGUACACCAGUUGCUUCGCAUACUAAAGCUGAACCUGAUUUUCUCUAAAUCCAAUUUUGCUAAAAAAGGACAAUUAAAUAAAGAAGUCAUGCGUUUGAACUGCAAGCGUAUUUUAUUUGAUAAGAAUUAAUAGCAUCAGUUUUAUUUUUCCCAUUCAAAGCGAAAAAAACAACCUGUUUUUCGAAUUACCGAACUGUAUACGGUACUUUUUUGACAGAUCAUCAAAAACUAAAACUACCUAACGAUCAGUAAUCUUUUCAUUUACCGAACUGAUUACCGAACGUUCAGCUGUUGAAAGUUCGGUAAAAAAUUACCGUACACUGUAAAAUAUUCUAAGUGUGUACGUUAAAAAUAUUAAAUCACAAUUAAACUGAGACCUAGUUGAGUGAGUAUCAAAAUUGUAACGAUUCAGCUCAAACGGGGCCGCGGUUCGUUUCACCGCUCCCUCCCUCAACCAUUCAAAACCGUUAUCGACAAUUCAAAAUCAAGAUCAGGUUGGAUCUUGCAUGAUGUUCAAAGGAUUCUGCCUCGAAACUUUAGAAUCAAAACGAAGCCAGUUCAGAUAAGAACGGACACUCGCAACGAGAUUUUUAUUCAAAACGAAAACCGCACGAGAAAGGAAUAACAUCAGCUUAUCUGCGCUCCCCGUUGUCUGCCUUUAUGGCAGUUGGUGCGGACGCUCACAUGGCUAAAAGCAUGAUGCUGUAUAUGCUGAUGAGUUGAUACCGAGAUAUGAGCCUCGGAGCUUCAUUGGAAGACGACGACGAGGUAGCCUUAAGGGAGACAGCAAGGUGACCACCACCCUUUCUUCCCCAUGUUGACGAUCGCGAGUAGCUGCCAGGCUGUUGCCUUCUCUUUUCACGUUUCUGUUCAUUAAAACCUCGCGGUCGUGGUCUCCCCUUGCCAUGCUUAAAUGUUCUUUUAAACAGCAAAACCAAUAAAAUUAGAAUAAAAACAAUCCUUUCGUUAUGAUACUGUGUUGCCAAAUGGACAUAAAACCUCAAUUUUAACUUUUGGUCCAAAUCGAGGUUUCAUUUGAUCAAAGUGAUUUAAUCAUAGUGCAUACAUUACACAUUUGAUAUCUUCAUAUGAUUGAAAAGAUGGAAUAAAUCUGCCAUCACGGCUGAAGGUGUCCAGCAA